rnacentral:rRNA from 1 species
AGCGAACGCUGGCGGCAGGCCUAACACAUGCAAGUCGAACGAACUCUUCGGAGUUAGUGGCGGACGGGUGAGUAACACGUGGGAACGUGCCUUUAGGUUCGGAAUAACUCAGGGAAACUUGUGCUAAUACCGAAUGUGCCCUUCGGGGGAAAGAUUUAUCGCCUUUAGAGCGGCCCGCGUCUGAUUAGCUAGUUGGUGAGGUAAAGGCUCACCAAGGCGACGAUCAGUAGCUGGUCUGAGAGGAUGAUCAGCCGCAUUGGGACUGAGACACGGCCCAAACUCCUACGGGAGGCAGCAGUGGGGAAUCUUGCGCAAUGGGCGAAAGCCUGACGCAGCCAUGCCGCGUGAAUGAUGAAGGUCUUAGGAUUGUAAAAUUCUUUCACCGGGGACGAUAAUGACGGUACCCGGAGAAGAAGCCCCGGCUAACUUCGUG